GACGAACGCUGGCGGCGUGCUUAACACAUGCAAGUCGAACGGAAAGGCCCUGCUUUUGUGGGGUGCUCGAGUGGCGAACGGGUGAGUAACACGAGAGUAACCUGCCCUUGACUUUGGGAUAACUUCAGGAAACUGGGGCUAAUACCGGAUAGGAUCUCCUGCUGCAUGGUGGGGGUUGGAAAGUUUCGGCGGUUGGGGAUGGACUCGCGGCUUAUCAGCUUGUUGGUGGGGUAGUGGCUUACCAAGGCUUUGACGGGUAGCCGGCCUGAGAGGGUGACCGGCCACAUUGGGACUGAGAUACGGCCCAGACUCGUACGGGGGGCAGCAGGUGGGAAUAUUGCACAAUGGGCGGGAGCCUGAUGCAGCAACGCCGCGUGCGGGAUGACGGCCUUCGGGUUGUAAACCGCUUUCGCCUGUGACGAAGCGUGAGUGACGGUAAUGGGUAAAGAAGCACCGACUAACUACGUG
rnacentral:rRNA from 1 species